ACUUGGCCAUAAUGGAUCCACCACGUCUGGCAUACAUCAUAAAACGUAAAUAAAAACAUUAACUUACGCCCAACUAUGGCCUCCUAUGAGUAUGAUCACGGAAUUAAAGUCUCCUACUAAGAGCUUAGGAAAAUGAGAGGGUUAAACUCAAGUAAGCUUAGUUAACAUGGUAUUAGCCUAUUAGCACUCUGUUUGGCUGGAGAGAAAGCUGAAGAAAAAAAGUUGUUCGAACUUCAUGAUAAUACUUUUAAUUUUUUUAUUCUGUGCGUGGAAAAACGAAAGGCUAGAAAGAAAAGCAAAUACGCUCAAAUAACAUGAGAAGGGCCGAAAAAACGACUACCUGAGAAGAAAUCAUCUCGACGGCGGGAC
rnacentral:misc_RNA from 1 species